GGGGAUGUAGCUCAAAUGGUAGAGCGCUCGCUUUGCAUGCGAGAUGCACGGGGUUCGAUCCCCGGCAUCUCCA